GACGAACGCUGGCGGCGUGCUUAACACAUGCAAGUCGAACGGAAAGGCCCUGCUUUUGUGGGGUGCUCGAGUGGCGAACGGGUGAGUAACACGUGAGUAACCUGCCCUUGACUUUGGGAUAACUUCAGGAAACUGGGGCUAAUACCGGAUAGGAGCUCCUGCUGCAUGGUGGGGGUUGGAAAGUUUCGGCGGUUGGGGAUGGACUCGCGGCUUAUCAGCUUGUUGGUGGGGUAGUGGCUUACCAAGGCUUUGACGGGUAGCCGGCCUGAGAGGUUGAACGGCCACAUUGGGACUGAGAUACGGCCCAGACUCCUACGGGAGGCAGCAGUCGGGAAUAUUGCACAAUGGGCGGAAGCCUGAUGCAGCAACGCCGCGUGCGGGAUGACGUCCUUCGGGUUGUAAACCGCUUUCGCCUGUGACGAAGCGUGAGUGACGGUAAUGGGUAAAGAAGCACCGGCUAACUACGUG
rnacentral:rRNA from 1 species